CCCAGCCUCUAACUCUUUUGUACUUUUAAAAAAGAUGUAUUUAUUUUAUAACUGUGGGUGUUUUGCUGUGUGCCAGGUGAAUGCAGGGCACUCACUGGCCAAGAGUGGGCGGAGCUCAGAGCUGGAGUAUCUGUGAAUUACAUGGUGCUGACUUGGGGGCUGGAGAGAUGGCUCAGUGGUUAAGAGCACCGACUGCUCUUCUUAAGGUCCUGAGUUCAAAUCCCAGCAACCACAUGGUGGCUCACAACCAUCUGUAAUGAGAUCUGACACCCUCUUCUGGUGCAUCUGAAGACAGCUACAGUGUACUUAGAUAUAAUAAUAAAUAAAUCUUUAAAAAUUAUUUUAAAAAAAGAAAAGAAAAAAACAUGGUGCUGACUUUAAACUCUGGUCCUUUGGAAGAGCAGUUAGUGCUCUUAAUCACCGGCCAUUCUCCAGGUUCUUAGACUCAAAGUCUUGAUCCUCCUGCUUUCACCUCUGAAGUGCUAGGGUUAUGGGUUAGUGAACUCACGGUUUUAAACUGCUUCUACCACCUCUGGAUGGAUGGAUGAGUGGGUGGAUGAGUGGGUGGAUGGGUGGGUGGAUGGAUGAUGGAUGGAUGGGUAGAUGGAUGGGUCGGUGGGAGGUACUUGAAAGGAUGGAUAGGUGAAUGAAUAGAUGGGUGGGCAGGUGGGUAUGAAUGGAUAGGUGGAUGCAUGAAUGGAUAGAUGAUCUGUUUCAGGCUUUCCUUUCCUUUCUUUUCUUUCUUUCUUUUUCUUUUUUCUUUUCUUUUUUUUUUUUUUUUCUUUUCGAGACAGGGUUUCCUGGCUGUCCUGGAACUCACUUUGUAGACCAGGCUGGCCUCGAACUCAGAAAUCCGCCUGCCGAUCUCAAGUGCUGGGAUUAAAGGCGUGUGCCACCACCUUUUCUGAAUCAUGGCCAUCUCCUAUUAAAAACCACAUGUCCCAUCAGUGCCUGUGCGAAUUUGGUUAGAAGAUGAGUUUUAUGUUUAGAAAAGAGAAACUAGGAGGAGGAGACAGGGGAGGGGCGGGGAGGGGCAGAGAGACAGGGGAGCAGGACACCUGGACAGAGGACUCCCAAGGGAGCAUAGGUGUGCAAGCCACAGACAGAGCAACUGAGGAGCGCACUCUCCUCAGCCAGACAGUGGAGUACGUCUGUCUCUGGGCCCAGGUCUGAAAUCCUACCCUCAGGUGGCUGAGAGCCUAGGGAGGCCCCCGACAGGGCUGCGGUUCGGAUGAGGACAGCGAUUGUGCAAGAAUGGACAGCCUUGCCCCAGCCUGUGUCUCCCGGCCUGAGUCAUAGAGAAAGGAAGGAGACAGCGAAAAGCCCGAAGCCCCCUUGGAUAUCACGCCGCCAAGGCCUCCAGUGUGACGUGGUGACGUCAUCACGGAUGAGCUCAGCAGAGACACCUGAGGACAAGGGGCUUGGCUCAAGGAGUACAGGUGGGGCAGGCAGUGACUGAUAAACUCAGGAUGGGCCUCCCGGAGAAACACCAGAUUCUAGAUGCCAGCCUAGCCUUCGAAAGAGGAAGCUUGGAGGAGGGAACAAAGCUGCUUACUUGCCACCUCAGGUCACGUGUCCUCAACUCAUCACAGAGCCCAGAAAGGUUUCCCUAGCGAUUAGCAAAGAAACUCACUGAAGGUCUCCAAUUGGCCCUGCUUGGACCAAUCACCCCGGUUCGACGUCGGGAACUUUAUUGCCUGUUCUGGGUCUCAAGGCAAACACAUGUUCUGGGAUUGUAGGCAUGCUGACGUGGUUCAUGCAGUGCAGAGGAUUGUUUUGGGCCAAGGUUGGAAGGUAGCUCAGUGGGUAAAGUACCAGCGGCCCAAGCCUAGUGACCCUAGUUCUAGCCCAAGAACCCACAACCCCUGUUUUUGUUUGUAAUUAACAAACUUCUACAGUGAGAUUCGAACCCAGGUCAGGAGAACCCUUCCUGGCGCUCAUGAGUCAGCUUGCCUGCACACUAGCAUUGCUUGCACACUAGCAUUGCUUGCACACUAGCAUUGCCUGCACACUAGCAUUGCCUGCACACUAGCAUUGCCUGCACACUAGCAGAGCAAGGACCACAGGACAAGCUGACUUCAGAGGCCACUGAGUUUUAUCUUAUUUUAUUUGUUCCACCCCUGAGUGUUUAUUUCCCCAUCAUUGGCUGUGUGCCCUAGGGGUCAGGAGCCAGCAGUCAGGGAGGAGUCACUUCCGGGCUCUUCCAAAAUCCCACACGGAUCCUCAGAAUUGGCCAAGAGCUGCUUCAGCGAUUCCCAGGAAAUGCCAAGGAAAGAGCUGUGGUAAGCUCCAGGCUGCCCCAGGACAGCCUCCAUAAGGAGUCCUCAUUAUUAGGUCAAGAGAGAAAAAACAAGCCGAGGGCUUCUCUCCUGUUCCUGCACAUGACUCCUGGCCAGUGGCCAGGGAGGGAUAACAAGCUUAUCCCUCAAGGUCAAAGAAACCCUGGGCCUCUCCCAUAAGAAGCCCAUACCCAGGGCUAGAGAGUUGGCUCAGACCUUCACAGUAAUGGCUGCUCUUGCAGAGGACCUGGAUUUUAUUUCAGGUACCCGAAUGACAGUUUACAAAGGUUUGUAACUCCAGUUCCAGGGGACCCAGCACCCUCUUCUGGCCUCCAUGUACACUGUGUACCUGUGACAGAGACAUAUAUGUAGCCAAAACACCCAUGUGUGGUCACGUGCACACGCACACACACAAAUAAGUAGAUCUGAAAAAGU